GAUGAACGCUAGCUAUAGGCUUAACACAUGCAAGUCGAGGGGAAACGGCAUUAUGUGCUUGCACAUUUUGGACGUCGACCGGCGCACGGGUGAGUAUCGCGUAUCCAACCUGCCCUUUACUUGGGGAUACCCCGUUGAAAGACGGCCUAAUACCCGAUGUAAUUCAUUGAUGGCAUCAGAUAUGAAUAAAAGAUUUAUCGGUAAAGGAUGGGGAUGCGUCUGAUUAGCUUGUUGGUGAGGUAAAGGCUCACCAAGGCAACGAUCAGUAGGGGUUCUGAGAGGAAGGUCCCCCACACUGGAACUGAGACACGGUCCAAACUCCUACGGGAGGCAGCAGUGAGGAAUAUUGGUCAAUGGGCGCAAGCCUGAACCAGCCAAGUAGCGUGCAGGAAGACGGCCCUAUGGGUUGUAAACUGCUUUUAUACGAGAAUAAUUUGAUGCACGUGUGCGUUAUUGCAUGUAUCGUAUGAAUAAGGACCGGCUAAUUCCGUGCCAGCAGCCGCGGUAAUACGGAAGGUCCGGGCGUUAUCCGGAUUUAUUGGGUUUAAAGGGAGCGUAGGCUGUCUAUUAAGCGUGUUGUGAAAUAUACCGGCUCAACCGGUGGCUUGCAGCGCGAACUGGUCGACUUGAGUAUGCAGGAAGUAGGCGGAAUUCAUGGUGUAGCGGUGAAAUGCUUAGAUAUCAUGACGAACUCCGAUUGCGCAGGCAGCUUACAGUAGCAUAACUGACGCUGAUGCUCGAAAGUGCGGGUAUCAAACAGG
rnacentral:rRNA from 1 species